GCGACCCCAGGAUGGGUGAGGCCACCCGCUGAGUUUAAG
rnacentral:rRNA from 6 species